rnacentral:rRNA from 1 species
UACGGGAGGCAGCAGUGGGGAAUAUUGCACAAUGGGCGAAAGCCUGAUGCAGCUAUGCCGCGUGUAUGAAGAAGGCCUUAGGGUUGUAAAGUACUUUCAUCGGGGAGGAAAAAACAAAACUAAUAAUUUUAUUUCUUGACGUUACCCGAAAAAGAAGCACCGGCUAACUCCGUGCCAGCAGCCGCGGUAAUACGGAGGGUGCUAGCGUUAAUCAGAAUUACUGGGCGUAAAGAGCACGUAGGUGGUUUUUUUAAAGUCAGAUGUGAAAUCCCUGGGCUUAACCUAGGAACUGCAUUUUGAAACUGAAAUACUAGAGUAUCGUAGAGGAAGGUAGAAUUCUAGGUGUAGCGGUGAAAUGCGUAGAUAUCUGGAGGAAUACCUGUGGCGAAAGCGGCCUCCUAAACGAAUACUGACACUGAGGUGCGAAAGCGUGGGGAGCAAACAGGGAUUAGAUACC